rnacentral:misc_RNA from 1 species
UAGAAAUUUAUUGUACCAAUAAUGUAGUUCUAUUUGAAGAUUCUGUGUAAUAAAUAUUAUAGUCUAUCCAAUUCGAAAAUAAAACUACAUUAUUGGUACAAUAAAUUUCUAAUUACAGAACUAAUAUAUUACUUCAUCAAUUAGGAUAAAUAAGACCCACUUUGCUCAUCUUCAAACUGCAGACAUUCCAACUCUCCAGAUUUGAAAAUCAGCAGCAUAUGCAAUUUUGAAUGAAGGGGAAAAAAUGCAUCCAAAGAUGCUAAAAAAGGCCACAAUUAAGGACACCUGAUGGACCUGCUGAUGAUAUUCUUGAUCUUUUGCCUUUAACUGGUGAAAUCCCAGUGGCUGCCUCAUCUGGUAGUUUGAAUAGACUAUUACCCUGGUGUACAGAAAUCAUCAAGAUUUCCCAACACCAAAUAAUGAGUCUUCCCAACAUAUAGUCGCUUUUAUAGGUUCUGAGACAUCAGUAUCUUAAAUAAACACUAACGGAUACCAUCCAACAUAAUACUAGAUAUCAAGAAAUAUUAAAUAUCAAGAACUUGACAACUGACAAGUUCAGCAGAUCCAAUAUUUCUAUUGGCAACGACCUUCCAGACAACUGUUUCUGAUUCAGCCAGUGAGGAAAAAUGCUCAUGUGAGGAGCCAACAAAAUGAGAAGCUGAGCUCAAUGGUGAAGAGUCCAAAUUAUCACGAAGGCUAGCCUGCAUAACUACAACUUUAUGAUUGGAAUCUUUUGUGAUGACAUGAAUCUUUCCAUGAAAACCAGCAAGCAGAUGUGGAGUUUCUGAAUCUGCAGAAUCAUAAAAAGGAACUUUUCCUAUAACAACUUUCCAAGCAUCUUCUCUGUGAUCAUACACCUUGAUCUUACCACUGUCUCGAGAACUAGAGGGAUCAUAUGAAUAUAGUUCACCUUCUACCACAAUGCUCAACUUUGUACCUGCCUGACGUGCAGGCCAACCUUCUCCCAUGCCAGUUGGCAUUUCAGCCCACGAAUUGGUUUCAGGAUCAUAAAUUUCUCCCCCAGCAUCAACAAAGAAGGGCCAUGAGUAUAGACUUUGAGGCACACAUAAUCUUCCCAUGUAUGAAGUCAUCCCAGUGGCAAUAGGCUUUAGCAAGUCUGACCAAAAGGCAUUGGGGAACUGUUGAGAUUUUGAGAAUGGCAUGCUUGGAACUUCAGACCAUGUAUCUGUGUGAGGAUCAAAAACUUCAGCAGAUUGCAGAGGAACUAAUCCCCCUCGAAACUGAGUAACCCCUCCAACAACAUAUAGCUUGUUGUUCAAAAUGCUAGUCUUGCAAUAAGCCCUCCCUGUAGACAUGGGAGUGAUCUCACUCCAUCUAUUUAGGAUUGGAUCAUAUCGCCAGACACAACUCACGGUUGAAGCUCUAAAAAAUCCUCCAAGAACAUAGAGGCAGCCAUCAACAGCACCAAUGGCACAACCGCAAAAUGGCAUAUGAUCCGAUGUAUGGUUUUUCCCUAGCCAACUCCUUAUAAUUUCAUGAAUUUUAAUGCGUGGCCCCACAAUGUUCCACAACCAAAGCCCAGAAGAGCCAUUCCUAGAUUCUUCUGAUAAAA